rnacentral:rRNA from 1 species
CAGCAGCCGCGGUAAGACGGAGGGUGCUAGCGUUGUUCGGAAUCACUGGGCGUAAAGGGCGCGUAGGCGGCCUGUUAAGUCGGAUGUGAAAGCCCGGGGCUCAACCCCGGAACUGCAUCCGAGACUGGCAGGCUUGAGACCGGGAGAGGAGGGUGGAAUAUCCAGUGUAGAGGUGAAAUUCGUAGAUAUUGGAUGGAACACCGGUGGCGAAAGCGGCUCUCUGGCCCGGAUCUGACGCUGAGGCGCGAAAGCGUGGGGAGCAAACAGGAUUAGAUACCCCAGUAGUCCCUGUCUCUUAUAC